rnacentral:tRNA from 2 species
CGGGGUGUAGCUUAGCUUGGUAGAGCGCCAUGUUCGGGACGUGGAGGUCGUGGGUUCAAAUCCCACCACCCCGA